rnacentral:rRNA from 1 species
GAUGAACGCUGGCGGCGUGCCUAAUACAUGCAAGUCGAGCGAAUGGAUUAAGAGCUUGCUCUUAUGAAGUUAGCGGCGGACGGGUGAGUAACACGUGGGUAACCUGCCCAUAAGACUGGGAUAACUCCGGGAAACCGGGGCUAAUACCGGAUAACAUUUUGAACCGCAGGGAUCGAAAUUGAAAGGCGGCUUCGGCUGUCACUUAUGGAUGGACCCGGGUCGCAUUAGCUAGUUGGUGAGGUAACGGCUAACCAAGGCAACGAUGCGUAGCCGACCUGAGAGGGUGAUCGGCCACACUGGGACUGAGACACGGCCCAGACUCCUACGGGAGGCAGCAGUAGGGAAUCUUCCGCAAUGGACGAAAGUCUGACGGAGCAACGCCGCGUGAGUGAUGAAGGCUUUCGGGUCGUAAAACUCUGUUGUUAGGGAAGAACAAGUGCUAGUUGAAUAAGCUGGCACCUUGACGGUACCUAACCAGAAAGCCACGGCUAACUACGUGCCAGCAGCCGCAGUAACAC